GCCCAGACUCCUACGGGAGGCAGCAGUGGGGAAUAUUGGGCAAUGGGCGCAAGCCUGACCCAGCAACGCCGCGUGAAGGAAGAAGGCUUUCGGGUUGUAAACUUCUUUUCUCAGGGACGAAGCAAGUGACGGUACCUGAGGAAUAAGCCACGGCUAACUACGUGCCAGCAGCCGCGGUAAUACGUAGGUGGCAAGCGUUAUCCGGAUUUACUGGGUGUAAAGGGCGUGUAGGCGGGAAAGCAAGUCAGAUGUGAAAACCAUGGGCUCAACCUGUGGCCUGCAUUUGAAACUGUCAAACUAGAGUACGGGAGAGGUAAGAGGAAUUCCUAGUGUAGCGGUGAAAUGCGUAGAUAUUAGGAGGAACACCAGUGGCGAAGGCGGCCUGCUGGACGAUGACUGACGCUGAGGCUCGAAAGCGUGGGGAGCAAACAGGAUUAGAUACCCUCGUA
rnacentral:rRNA from 1 species